rnacentral:rRNA from 1 species
CAGAAUUUACCGCAUGGUAGAUAUUUGAAAGGAGCAACUGCUUCACUAUGAGAUGGACCUGCGUUGUAUUAGCUAGUUGGUGAGGUAACGGCUCACCAAGGCAUCGAUACAUAGCCGACCUGAGAGGGUGAUCGGCCACACUGGGACUGAGACACGGCCCAGACUCCUACGGGAGGCAGCAGUAGGGAAUCUUCGGCAAUGGGGGCAACCCUGAUCGAGCAACGCCGCGUGAGUGAAGAAGGUUUUCGGAUCGUAAAGCUCUGUUGUAAGAGAAGAACCGUGAGAAGAGUGGAAAGUUUCUCACUUGACGGUAUCUUAC